AGAGAGAGUGGUGCUUAUAGGCAGAAGGACUGAAGGAGGGGUGUCCUAAUGAGCAGUAAAUGCAUUUGGGUUGGGGAUUUUAUUGCCUGAUUCUCAAGGUGAAGGUGGACGGCUUGCUCAAAAGUUACAUGUUGUUGUCCUUUUCUGCCAUUGGGUGACCCAUCAUCACCCAACGGGUUUGUCAUCAAACACAGGCUCUGACUAAAGUCAAGGGUAACCAAUUUUGAGUUCAGAAAUUCACCCAAUCAAAGGAAUUGGAAAACCAGAAGCAUCGAGAUACCAAAAAACAAUAGGAGCAACAGUUUCUGAAUUGAAAUGUACAAACUUUCAGACAUGAUGUGCAAGGUGACUGGAUUGAACUUUAUUAAUCUUCAUCAUAUACCAACUAAGCUUCUACUCUUAUUACACCAAUUCAACUUAAGAAUCACAAUUAAUCAACAACAUUUAACAACAAUGAACAUACAUAACUUUUAUCCAAUCCCCAAUGCAAGUUGUGUUCCAACACAACCUUUUCGUAUAUCAGGGGACAGGGGACCAUUCACAAUAUUAUCUCCUUAAUUCCAACUCAAUAAAAGAGAUGAACUUUUUAGCCUUUGGGGUAGUUUGUGCCACCCAUCAUGACUUAAC
rnacentral:lncRNA from 1 species